rnacentral:rRNA from 1 species
UACGUAGGGUGCGAGCGUUGUCCGGAAUUAUUGGGCGUAAAGGGCUCGUAGGCGGUUUGUCGCGUCGGGAGUGAAAACACACAGCUUAACUGUGUGCUUGCUCCGAUACGGGCAGACUAGAGGUAUGCAGGGGAGAACGGAAUUCCUGGUGUAGCGGUGAAAUGCGCAGAUAUCAGGAGGAACACCGGUGGCGAAGGCGGUUCUCUGGGCAUUACCUGACGCUGAGGAGCGAAAGUGUGGGGAGCGAACAGG